GGCAUAAUUACCAGCCUCUGCAAGUUUCCGACCACUACAGCAAGGCAGUGUCUCAGGCUGCUGGGUCACAUGGCGUCCUGCACAUAUGUUGCGCAACACGCCAAGCUCAGGCAGCUUCAGGCGUGGCUGGCGUCUGCCUAUCGACCAGGACGUGACAGCCUAGACAUGGUCCUCACAGUCCCACUCGACUCCCUGCAGUGGUGGCUGGACCCUCAGAUGGUGGGUGCCGGGGUCCCAUUUCGUCACCCCCAGCCCACUCUGACUCUAGUUACAGACUCGUCUGCCCUGGGAUGGGGAGCCCACCUCGGCAGCCUGACAACGCAGGGCUUAUGGCACGAGAGCGAGCUGCCGCUGCACAUCAACAUCAGAGAGCUUAGGGCGAUCCGCCUUGCGUGCCAAGCCUUUCUUCCCCACUUGCGGGGUCACUGCGUAGCAGUCCUAAUGGACAACACCACAGCCAUGUUCUACCUGAACAAGCAAGGCAGAGCCCAGUCAUCGCCGCUCUGCCAAGAAGCCCUCUCUCUGUGGGACUUCUGCGUAGUCCACUCCAUCAACCUCCAGGCCUCGUACCUGCCGGGCGUCCAGAAUGUCCUGGCAGAUACUUUGAGCAGGCGUUUUCUGACUCACAAAUGGUCCAUACGCCCGGAUGUCAUUCAUUCCGUUUUCCGCACCUGGGGGUUUCCCCGAAUCGACUUGUUUGCUUCGCAGACCAACAAAAAGUGCCCAGCCUUCUGCUCCUUCCAGAGUCACAGCCUGGGCUCGUUAGCGGAUGCCUUCCAGAUUACGUGGUCGGGCCAGUUGCUGUAUGCCUUCCCACCGUUCCCGCUGGUUCACAAGGUGCUCCUCAAGAUCCGCCGGGACAAGGCAGAUGUAAUACUGGUAGCCCCUGCCUGGCCGCGUCAGUGUUGGUAUCCGACUCUGCUGGACCUGUCAAUUCAGGCUCCCCUACGUCUUCCUCUUGACCCCAACCUCAUAUCGCAGAAUCACGGCCAUCUCCUUCACCCGGACCUCCAGUCGCUCCAUCUCACAGCCUGGAGGUGCUUCUGGAAAGUCGCAAGCCGUCAACUAGGCUUACCUACGAGGCUAAAUGGAAGAGGUUUUCCAGCUGGUGCGCUCAGCGGAAGGUGGCCACGCUCCCGGCUUCCAUUUCAUGCAUUUUGGACUACCUGAUGUCCCUAAAGGACCAGCACCUAGCCUUUGGAUCCCUUAAGGUCCACCUUGUGGCCAUUUCUCCGUUCCACCCAGGCGCGGUGGGGCGUUCAGUGUUUGCACAUCUGGUCGUGCGGCAUUUUCUCAAAGGCCUGGAGAAAAUCCAUCCUCCAAUGAAGCCACCCG
rnacentral:lncRNA from 1 species